rnacentral:rRNA from 1 species
AGUGAACGCUGGCGGUAGGCCUAACACAUGCAAGUCGAACGGCAGCACAGUAAGAGCUUGCUCUUACGGGUGGCGAGUGGCGGACGGGUGAGGAAUACAUCGGAAUCUACUUUUUCGUGGGGGAUAACGUAGGGAAACUUACGCUAAUACCGCAUACGACCUACGGGUGAAAGCAGGGGAUCUUCGGACCUUGCGCGAUGAAUGAGCCGAUGUCGGAUUAGCUAGUUGGCGGGGUAAAGGCCCACCAAGGCGACGAUCCGUAGCUGGUCUGAGAGGAUGAUCAGCCACACUGGAACUGAGACACGGUCCAGACUCCUACGGGAGGCAGCAGUGGGGAAUAUUGGACAAUGGGCGCAAGCCUGAUCCAGCCAUACCGCGUGGGUGAAGAAGGCCUUCGGGUUGUAAGGCCCUUUUGUUGGGAAAGAAAAGCAGCAGGUUAAUACCCCGCUGUUCUGACGGUACCCAAAGAAUAAGCACCGGCUAACUUCGUG